CUGCAGUGACUUACAGCUCAGAGCACUGAGAGCCUCAACAGAGAACUGAACUGAUCUGAUUGAACAUGGACAGAUGCUCCAUACUGAUUCUCAUCGUGGGAACAGGUUUGGUGGCUGGAGACAGCAUUUAUCCAGAUAAAGGGACAGAAAAAAACUCUCAAGAAACACAAACUGUCAAGCUGAGCUGCUCAUAUAGUGCAAGUAGUGGUAUUGUUCAGCUUUACUGGUACAGACAGUAUCCCAACAGAGACCCUCAGUUCUUAUUAUACAAAUAUGCACCGUCAUCGAGUGAUUAUGAAAACACCUCUGAUGAUCGAUUUCAUUCAGCUACAACACAAUCCUCCACUGAACUCACUAUCACUGAUGUACGUCUGUCAGAUUCAGCUCUCUAUUAUUGUGCUCUAAGAGUUGGUGCCCAGUGAAAUAAAACAUGAGACAUGUUAUACAAAAACCUAAAGCUCUUUUCACUUUGAAAUUAUCUAGU